UAGAACUACAAGAGAUUUCACCAGCUUGAUUAGCUGGUACCCUUAUCAAUUUAACUCUCAAAACUCACAUUUUUUCUAAUGUUUGCAUGGAAACAAAUAGAUCCUAAUAGAAAACUAUUUUAUUGAGCAAAAAGAUGUCAAACCCUUUAGGAACAUCUCCUAAAUAUGUUUUAUUAUUAAUAUAAGCAGCUUCCAAAAUCUAAGGGAAAUUUCAUCGAACAAAGUUGUCCAAAAAUCCACCUUACUUUAAAAUUUAAACUCACAAUAAUUACCUGCA
rnacentral:lncRNA from 1 species